rnacentral:lncRNA from 1 species
GGAGAGGGAGAGAGAGAGAAAGAGAGAAAAUUUUAAAAAGAAAAUUUAAAAAUAGAAAGAUUACUGACAUAAAAUAGCAUUUUUAAUGAUAGCAUAAAAGGGAUGAACAAUAGUUCGCUGCCCCAAAAUUCAGCUUCUAAUUUAAAGAAAUAAACACAAUUCAAAAUACUUGCUAUAUUUCUGCAUACCCACAUAGGUCUGAAACCAUGGGAAAUAUAUAAAUUAAGGAGAGGUCAGUGAGGCACUGUUGCCAGAUGAUGGAACCAUCAUUCUUUAGGCUGUCUUUCCAACAUUCUCCCAUUAUCUUGCAUUUUGUAGCUGAGGGGUAGGGGGUGGGUCUUAAUAGGCAUGGGAGACAGUUCUGAGCCUAGCUUCAUGCUUCCAUCAGCUAGGUAAGGGCCUCUUGGUGAAUGUUCUAAAUGUCUGAGCUCUGAUUCUGAUCUUGGGGACCUGGGCAUGUGUGUGGUUGGUAGGAUCUCUGGCGCUUCUGACAACUGGCCAAACUGGAGAGUCUCCAGUCUAACCCACUCCUCCUGACUCAUAAAUAAGAAGAGCCCUAGUCCAGAGCUAUGCCAUGCUUGGGCUUCUGUUGCUUUUAUUUAUCCAACAGCACAGAAGGAAUGUGAAGAAGAGAGGUCACACACCUUAUGAAAUAGAUCCCAGCAUGAACCUUAUAAAUACUUUUCCUGAUCACUUGGUUGAAUGUAAAAACACUCAUGGGCCAGCCCUUUCCACCUUUAUUGUCUGUGUGCUCUGUACAGCAUGAAACUACAAUGAGCAUUCUAGCAUGACCUUCUUUUCGUGCUGUGGUAUCUCAUCAAAACGUCCUUGAAUUUAGUUGAACUCUACUGGCAGAGAAGGGGAGACACAGAGAAUAAUUGAGGUGGUGCCACCAACUUCUCGAUCAUCCGUUCAGUGUUCCAGACCGAGUUUGCCUGACGUUGCUCCUGCAGUCUGACAUUUGCCUGUUUACUGCAUUGUCCAGGCUCCUGUGCCAGCAGACUUCGGUCACAUUUGCAGGUAGUUAUCUGUCAAAGGGGAAAGGUCAGGCUAUCUUUUCUCACUCCCUGUUCUGCUGUACUUUCUGUAGCUAUGGCUAUAACUCUCUCUUCCUGUCAGCUACCAAAGUACCUUAUCCUGGGAUACAGAUUUCUUCUCUUUGUUCUUAAGUGAUGAUAGAAUGGCCAUUCCUGGAUCAGGUCUCUCAACCUUACCAGCUUUUUAUGGUGUACUUUUAAUGUUUUUUUCUUUACAUUGGUGUUUACCUGUAUGUAAAUCUCUAUGAGGGUGUUAAAGCCCCUGGAAAAGGAGUUACAGACAGUUGUGAUCUGCAAUGUGAGUGUUAGGAAUUGAACUCAGGUCCUCUGGAAAAAAGCCAGUGCUUGAGCCAUCACUUUAAUGAAACUCACUUCAGCAGUUUGCUUCUUCCUUAAGGAAAUCCAUUUGACCUAUUUGCUUCAGUUCUGUUUUAUCUGGGCAUCUAGAUUACAACAAGACGGGGAAUAUAAUUGUUGCAGCAAUUCUAAACUCUUUGGGCCUUUUUAAGUGCCAGCAUCACUUUGAGCCAAGUAAGUGACUGGUUUUUGAGAAUACAGCGAUGCAAAAUACCAUUCUUUGUGAUCACUUGGCUUCUGUUGCCUAUCUUAUACACUUAAUCAAAUUUACAUAUAACUGGAUAUGCCCAUUUGUUAUAUGAAACUAUAUGCAAUGUAGUUUGUGAGCAAUUUCAUACAUUCUCUAAUAUAAUUUGACUGUACAGGAUUGUUUUCUACAGAAACUGGCUUUACAGUCUUUUUUCUGCUUGAGUACACCCUGUCUUUCUCACAAAAGAUUUUAAAGUUAGGAGGGAGGCUGUGGAGCAGGGAGAACAGAUAGGAAGAACUCAGUUUAUCUAGUCCCUGUGAUGAAAUUUUCUAUAAGCUCGGAGUCUGAAACUUUUCUUCAUGGCAAUUUCAAAAUAUCCCAAAGUAUAUAAAUUCCUGUAAUUGUUUUUUAACAACAAUGUGACAGUAAUGACCCGUUUUAACCAGAAAUAUCUUUGUUUGCAAAUGUGUAUAUAUGUGGCUCUUUUUUGCUGCAGAGUCCUGUGAUAUAUAGACUGUGCUCUAAACAUCUACAAAUAGCACUUGCUAAAAAUGCAUAAUGAGACUGAGGAGACGGUUCAGUCAGUUAAGUGCUUGUCUUGCAAGCAUGAGGACCUAGGUUCAAGACCAACAAUCCAUAUUUAAAGGGGUCAUCAUGACCCUCCUCUUCCUGCAUCCUCCCAACUAGACUGGUCCAGGCCUGGCCCCACAUCCACUACACUAACCUAGUCUGGUCACCCCUACCUGUGCCAUAACCAAUUUCUAGGCUUCUGCUAGGACCCCCCCCAUCUUCUCUAUCCUAUACAUAAGUCCCUCUCACACCUCCUCCAACCUCUCUCCCUACUCAGUUCCCUUCAUCUGCCUGACUUUAUUCUACCUAAGUCAACCUCAAGUCCUAACCUGCUCAAAUAUCCCCAUUUCUGCUUCACCGUUCUCAAUUCAUAUCAGACCCAGAACUAACAAAAGAAGUUCACAUGCCCAAAUCUUAUCACAAAGAGACGAACAAUAUGAAAGAUAAAGUCAGCAUUCCUUUCCUAAACCUACCAGUCCUGUAGAAAUGUUUGCCAAUGAGAAUUAUCUAGAUGAACCACAGGACACAGAAUUUAAAGGAACAAUCAUAAACUUAAGAAAAGACUCCAAGGAGUUUAAAGUAGACACAAAGAAAUAGCUCAAGAAAGUUAAAGAGAAAGAAUUUAAGGAGAAUAAAUUCCUGAACGAUGCCCAGGAGAAUACAGCCAUAAGACUGAUGGAAAUGAUGAAGACAAUUUCGGACUUGAAAAUUGAACUCAGUAAAGAGAUACAAACAUUGAAGAACACUCAAGCUAAAAUGAAAAUAGAAUUAAAAUACCCAACAGCCCAGCUAGAAAAUUCAGAGAAACCUUACAAGUAGAAUGAAUCAAGCAGAAGAUUAGCAGGACUCAAAGGUAGGGAUUUAGGCAAAAUAAGCAAAGAAAAUGAAAUGUUGCUGGGUGGUGGUGGCGCAUGCUUUUAAUCCCAGCACUUGGGAGGCAGAGGCAGGUGGAUUUCUGAGUUCAAGGCCAGCCUGGUCUACAAAGUGAGUUCCAGGACAGCCAGGGCUAUACAGAGAAACCAUGUCUUAAAAAAAAACAACAACAACAACAAAAAAAAAAAACAAAAAC